rnacentral:tRNA from 1 species
CGGAGUAUGGUGGAAUUGGCAGACACCACGGACUUAAAAUCCGUUGAAGUAAAAUUCGUACCGGUUCAAGUCCGGUUACUCCGACCA